UACGUAGGGUGCAAGCGUUAAUCGGAAUUACUGGGCGUAAAGCGUGCGCAGGCGGUUUUGUAAGUCUGUCGUGAAAUCCCCGGGCUUAACCUGGGAAUUGCGUUGGAGACUGCAAGGCUGGAGUCUGGCAGAGGGGGGUAGAAUUCCACGUGUAGCAGUGAAAUGCGUAGAUAUGUGGAGGAACACCGAUGGCGCAAGGCAGCCCCCUGGGUCAAGAUUGACGCUCAUGCACGAAAGCGUGGGGACAAACAGG
rnacentral:rRNA from 1 species